rnacentral:rRNA from 1 species
UACGGGGGGAGCAAGCGUUGUUCGGAUUUACUGGGCGUAAAGGGCGCGUAGGCGGCCACCGCAAGUCGACUGUGAAAUCUCCGGGCUUAACCCGGAAAGGUCAGCCGAUACUGCGGGGCUAGAGUGCAGAAGGGGCAACUGGAAUUCUCGGUGUAGCGGUGAAAUGCGUAGAUAUCGAGAGGAACACCUGCGGCGAAGGCGGGUUGCUGGGCUGACACUGACGCUGAUGUGCGAAAGCUAGGGGAGCGAACAGG